rnacentral:lncRNA from 1 species
AGCCUCUAAUACAUUUUCACUAUAAAAAAUUUUGGUAAAAAAAAGUGUACAGACCUCCUCAACUAUUAAACGCUUUGAAAUAGACAACUCCAAAUUAUUUUUUAACUUAUUUUAAUAAUUUUUAAUUUUUUAUGCUUAAUUUUAAUUAAUUAAACAAAAAUUGUUACCAUUUAUAUAAAUUAAAAUAUUUAAAUUAUCUGAAAUACUACCUACCCGUCACGAAGCGCGGCCCUACACUAGUAUGUAUAGUGUGCGGCUAGGAUGCCACUUUGUUUUCGAUGUUCGGACUUUCGAAUCGACGAUCGGCUCCGUUAGACUUGAUCUAGAGUAUUUGAAGUAUCUAGAAAAUAAAUUUUGCGAUUUUUCGAUAUCAUUUGCCUAGUGAUCGAAGUGGCUCAAAAUCAACUCGCUGAAAAUAAAAAUUUUACAAAAUAUGAUGAUAUGACAUUAAAAUUUUAGAUCAAAGUUAUUGAUCUUGUUUUACAUGGUAUAAAGAAUUUUCUAUCAAAAUUUCAUGUGAUUUGGAUAUUUCUACACCGUUAAACUUGCAACCGGCUCACCACGGCCGUUAAAAUUAUUGAUUUUGAGCCCCUUCGAUUACUAGGCAAAUGAUAUUGAAAAAUCGCAAAAUUUAUUUUCUAGAUANAUAGUCCGGCUACUAUCCUAUUAAUAGGAUCGGAGCCAUUGUCCUAUCAAGUUGUUUUGAUUGAUCGGAAUCUCAAAUUGAUAACCGGCACCGUUGAAAUUGAUCUACACAAUUAGAAAUGUUUAGAAACCAAAUUUUGUAAUAUUUAAAAAUCAUUAUUAAGUUCAUCUUAAGAGUUAAAAAAUGAACGGUCGUAAAUGAAUAACCUUCUUAAAAUAGAGGUUAGACUUUUUCAAUUUAUAAUUAGAGUUAUCAAAUAUUAUCUAAAUAGUAUAAAAAAAUUUUUAUCAAAAAUUCAAGCAAUUUGGAUUGCUUUACACCGUUAAACAAGCAAACGGCUCAUAUAGGCCGUAAAAAAUUAUCGAUUUUACGACACUUUGAUCACCAUGUAAAUAAUUUUUUAAAUUUAUGAAAUUUAGUUUCUAGAUAUUUCAAAUACUAUAGAUCAACUUCAACGGCUCCGAUCAUCGAUUCGGAAUCUCGAUCAUCAAAAAUAAUUUGAUAGGAUGAGUGCUCCUAUCCUAUUAAUAGGAUAGUAGCUCUAGCCUAUAUAUAUAU